ensembl:lncRNA
AGAAAAAACGCUUUAAAGCGUUUUGAACGUUCAGAUAGCAAACAGAAAUAACGUUUUCGUGACUUAAUGGGAAUGUUAUUAAACGUUCUAGAACAUAUUUUUGGUGGCUGAAAAAAGUCUACAGAUGAGAAAAGUCUCGCGGAUGCUUUUGAGAUACGGCCACAGAAUCUCAGUACAGUAACGUUACAUAGGAAAUGACUCAGAGGAGUUGAACCCAACGCGUGGGUGUGGGCCAUAGUGGGCGCUAUUAAAACAAGACUGAAAGUUUGGGGUGGGUCAUUCACACGCGCUGCUUUUGCUAUGCUUGAACCCCAUUUGUGGCUUUUAAUCUUUUGAAAUCGCUGUGGGAUUUCAAUAUAUAUAAAGCUCAAUGGAUUCCGGUGCUAUGUUGCGUUGCAUCUAUUGGAUUACUCUAUUGAUCGCCACUCUUAUUCAUGGAACAAACGCGGAUAAAAGUUCAGCCCUUUGUUUGAAAUCCGAAUUCUGGAACAGAGAUGUCGCACAAUGUGUACCUUGUCAAAUAUGCAAACAGUAUCCGAAAACUCCAUCAUGUGACACAUGCCCACCCAUAGAGCCUUCAGAUUCCUGGAGGGUGGCAGCAAUUACCAGUUUAUCUGUCCUGGCAGCCGUAAUUGUUUGCGGAGCCUUGCUCAUAGGCAUUCUAGUGCAUCAAUUCAGGUCCAAGAGGACUUUACGUGAACCGAUUGAAGAGACAACAGGACCCCUUUAUCAAGUAUAGGAUCUUCAUAAGCUCAUGGAACUCAAGCUGACGAAAAUGAAAAUGGACUGUUACUCCAGUGAAUUAAUGCUCCAGUUGGUAAACGCUGGCUAGUACCUCAACCACAGAGUGUUCUAUGAGUAGCAUCUGAUUUGUCUAACUUAUUACAUUAGUAGGCUAUGUCAUGCAUAGCAAAUGGUUAUGCACAAAAGCUGCACUGAGACCUUCCUUGUCACUCACUGUGCAGAAUAGGUUUGCAAGCCUUGGUGCUAAGUGACAUCCUAUGGACAGCAUGAUAGCACUGUUUUUGCAGAAAUUUGAGGUCAUUCAUGUUGCACUUAGUGCACUGUAGAUGCAUUCCCACUUGAAUAUUCCUUGUUAGAUUUGUGAACAUGAUAAACAAAUAACCACAAACCGUUUAAUAUAGUAGACUUAGAGAUCAACUUUUUUAUACAAAUAUGCCUCCCUAAACAGAUUUAGUAUGGCACAGCCAUUUGAAUGUAUUUGUAAUCAUUGUUUGUACAGUUUAAUUAUCUAUUUUUAUAGUGUUGGAAUACUACGCACUGUAUAGAUGUAGCCCUUUGUACAACAAUGUUCUGACACUGACUGGCUCAGCAGCCUGUCUAUAGCAUUGAUGAACGUUCUGGAGACACUGAAGACCAGCGAAGCAACAGAAGGUGAUAACCUGAAAGACAAGAGUCGCCAGCUGACAUUAACAAACUCUUUGAGAAAGAGUCGCAGGUGUCAGAUUCCAUCAGAUUUUUGCUGCCUUUAUACGCAUAAGAGAUUAGAUAGUUUAGAGUGAUAUUUACAUGUAAGUAGUGAUAUUUACAUACAUGCAAUACAUUUAAUCUCCCGUGUUUUAUAAUUUCAGCUUACUAAAAUGUUUUGAAACGCAGUUUUAGAUGCGUGUAGCCAGCUGUGGGCAUUAUGGAAUGUAUAUAUUUAUAUACAGCAGAUGCUGAGUAAUCAACUUGUUUGAAUGACAAGAGGUUAAUCUCAUGAAACCUGUGAAGAACAUGUUUGAGUAACAUUUCAACCCAGAAUCAAAAGAAUUCAAUAAGAAAUAUUUUGCUUAAAGAAUUUGUUGCAUUGUUUUCAAGAAAACUUAAGCACACUUUAUACCCCAGUUCCCAAGAAUACUUUAUGUCCAUUCAUGUUGCACUUAGUGCACUGUAGAUGCAUUCCCACUUGAAUAUUCCUUGUUAGAUUUGUGAACAUGAUAAACAAAUAACCACAAACCGUUUAAUAUAGUAGACUUAGAGAUCAACUUUUUUUAUACAAAUAUGCCUCCCUAAACAGAUUUAGUAUGGCACAGCCAUUUGAAUGUAUUUGUAAUCAUUGUUUGUACAGUUUAAUUAUCUAUUUUUAUAGUGUUGGAAUACUACGCACUGUAUAGAUGUAGCCCUUUGUACAACAAUGUUCUGACACUGACUGGCUCAGCAGCCUGUCUAUAGCAUUGAUGAACGUUCUGGAGACACUGAAGACCAGCGAAGCAACAGAGGGUGAUAACCUGAAAGACAAGACUCGCCAGCUGACAUUAACAAACUCUUUGAGAAAGAGUCGCAGGUGUCAGAUUCCAUCUGAUUUUUGCUGCCUUUAUACACAUAAGAGAUUAGAUAGUUUAGAGUGAUAUUUACAUGUAAGUAGUGAUAUUUACAUACAUGCAAUACAUUUAAUCUCCCGUGUUUUAUAAUUUCAGCUUACUAAAAUGUUUUGAAACGCAGUUUUAGAUGCGUGUAGCCAGCUGUGGGCAUUAUGGAAUGUAUAUAUUUAUAUACAGCAGAUGCUGAGUAAUCAACUUGUUUGAAUGACAAGAGGUUAAUCUCAUGAAACCUGUGAAGAACAUGUUUGAGUAACAUUUCAACCCAGAAUCAAAAGAAUUCAAUAAGAAAUAUUUUGCUUAAAGAAUUUGUUGCAUUGUUUUCAAGAAAACUUAAGCACACUUUAUACCCCAGUUCCCAAGAAUACUUUAUGUACCUCAUUGUGAAUCACUGCCAUGUUUGUCAGAAAUCUAGGAACAUCAAGAAGCUAGUCCAGAAUCUUUAUCGAUAAACAUAAACCUGUGAAGCAUGCACGGCGCUGUCACAGUCUUAAGAAAAGUUGGUUGUGUAUUUGUGCCUUUACUCAUUCACAAUUACUCCACAGACUGCAGAGGAAACUAUGCAUUUUAAUACAAUAAAGAGACAACUAACGUACUGUAUUUGUCUGUUGAUGUUUUU